UACGUAGGGUCCGAGCGUUGUCCGGAAUUAUUGGGCGUAAAGGGCUCGUAGGCGGUCUGUCACGUCGGGAGUGAAAACUUACAGCUUAACUGUGAGCGUGCUUUCGAUACGGGCAGACUUGAGGCAUUCAGGGGAGAACGGAAUUCCUGGUGUAGCGGUGAAAUGCGCAGAUAUCAGGAGGAACACCAGUGGCGAAGGCGGUGCUCUGGGCCGGAACUGACGCUGAUGAGCGAAAGCGUGGGGAGCAAACAGG
rnacentral:rRNA from 1 species